rnacentral:rRNA from 1 species
AACGAACGCUGGCGGCAGGCUUAACACAUGCAAGUCGAGCGCCCCGCAAGGGGAGCGGCAGACGGGUGAGUAACGCGUGGGAAUCUACCCAUCUCUACGGAAUAACGCAUGGAAACGUGUGCUAAUACCGUAUACGUCCUUCGGGAGAAAGAUUUAUCGGAGAUGGAUGAGCCCGCGUUGGAUUAGCUAGUUGGUGGGGUAAAGGCCUACCAAGGCGACGAUCCAUAGCUGGUCUGAGAGGAUGAUCAGCCACACUGGGACUGAGACACGGCCCAGACUCCUACGGGAGGCAGGAGUGGGGAAUAUUGGGAAAUGGGCGCAAGCCUGAUCCCGCCAUGGCGCGUGAGGGAUGAAGGCCCUAGGGUUGUAAAGCUCUUUCACCGGUGAAGAUAAUGACGGUAAACGGAGAAGAAGCCCCGGCUAACUUCGUGCCAGCCGCCGCAGUAAAAC